GACGAACGCUGGCGGCGUGCUUAACACAUGCAAGUCGAACGAAGAGCGACGGAAGCUUGCUUCUAUCAAUCUUAGUGGCGAACGGGUGAGAAACGCGUAAUCAACCUGCCCUUCAGAGGGGGACAACAGUUGGAAACGACUGCUAAUACCGCAUACGAUCUAACCUCGGCAUCGAGGAUAGAUGAAAGGUGGCCUCUACAUGUAAGCUAUCACUGAAGGAGGGGAUUGCGUCUGAUUAGCUAGUUGGAGGGGUAACGGCCCACCAAGGCGAUGAUCAGUAGCCGGUCUGAGAGGAUGAACGGCCACAUUGGGACUGAGACACGGCCCAGACUCCUACGGGAGGCAGCAGUGGGGAAUCUUCCGCAAUGGACGAAAGUCUGACGGAGCAACGCCGCGUGAGUGAUGACGGCCUUCGGGUUGUAAAGCUCUGUUAAUCGGGACGAAAGGCCUUCUUGCGAAUAGUGAGAAGGAUUGACGGUACCGGAAUAGAAAGCCACGGCUAACUACGUG
rnacentral:rRNA from 1 species